GGAGGCCUAGGGCUGGAGCAGAAAGCAGGGCUGGGAGCAGAAGGAAGAAGUACAGGGCAGGGAAGCCACAAGUAGAGCAGAAGAUCAGGUGAGGGAUGCAGGGGCUAGGAGCACAAAGCAGAGCAGCAGAUUUCGGCAGGAAAUGCAGGGCUGGAAGAAAAAAGCAAGCAGCAGAUCAGGCAAGAAGUGCAGGUCUGGGAGCCAGAAGCAGAGUAACAGAAGAGGCAGGGAGCACAGGGUAGGGAGCAGAAAGCAGAGCAGCAGAUCCUGCACAGAGCACAGGCCUAGGAGCCAGAAGCAGCGCAGCACAUCAGUUAGAAGAAAGGGUCGGGAGUGGCACGCAGGAAAGGUGCAGAGCUAAUCUGUGGCAUGCCCUGUUGACCCCCACUGUCUCUUCAUAGCGCUUGACAGAGCAGACCGGUGUCUGUUUAUGAAAGCUUACACCUUUCUUCUUGUCUUCAGGCUAACACAGCUACCUGCCUCUUUAUGUGACAGCUAUCGCAAGACUUGGCACAGCUGCAGCAGGCGUGCACAGAUGUAGCAGGGAGAGUUGAGAGUGUGACUUGUCUGUGCCCCAGCUCCUCUUCCACGUUCCUUGGAGUAAAAUGGGGUUGAAUCUAUGAGAUGCUUUAAUGUUGUGACUCCAGUCGACUCCACUCCUUCAGUCUGGGACUGGAGGCCCCUCCAAGUGCUGUGGCAAGAUUGGCACUAGUAUCUGAAUGAGUUAAUUCAGUGCUAGUUCAGUUAUCCCUGCACUAGGCUGCAGUCAUUCCUGUUAUUUGAUCCAUGCCCACAGAGGAAGAGGGUAAAAUGGGACUGUUUCCAAAUGUAUAUGUGCUUUAAAGUUGUGUUAUGGAUUAGACAGCUGUAUGUAAGUGUGUUGCAGAACUCACGGUGGCAAGUGCCACUAGGUGAGCUUUCUAUUCUAGCUACAGUUUUAAUCUGAUUACAAUUUAGCCCCCAAAUAUUUUUAAAAAUGGAAGUACAUCGUGCUUGGUUUCCUAUUUGGAGGUGAAUUUGCUUACGCUCAAUUGGAGCUGUGACAUUUCAGAGUUUUGUGCAAGGAGUCAUUCCCCUGUGUGUGCGGGGGCCUUUUCCAGCUACAAUUAGUGUACAGCACCAACCUAACAACUUCCAGCAUAGUACCACUUGCUGCUGAAAAAGUGCAAUGUCUUGUGCCGUGCCAUUCCCUAGUGCUAGGGACGUGAUCUGAGUAUGCAGUGCUCCAGCAAUUUUUAGCUGCUGCAACAACUUGAAUGAAUUGAGGGGGGGUAACCUCAGGGCUGUUCAAAAUUUAUGCACAGUGCCAAGCUGGGUAGCACAAAGCUAGCUUUCCAUUCAUGCACUAAGCAAAGUUUGGCUGGUCUGGAGAACAGGACCCUCUGUCUAUA